rfam:Physcomitrella patens subsp. patens PHYPAscaffold_183 genomic scaffold, whole genome shotgun sequence.
UGCUGUGAUGAAUAAUAUAUCUCGUUAAUCUGAGCCAUUACGGCAGGAGGAAAUUAUAUCCAUUUUUGAAAUCUGAGC